CCUAACGUUAUCAAAGAGGGAAGAGUGCUGCGUGUUCUCCCUGCUUGAGGCGUGUGUAUCGUAAAGGGAAGGAGUGCUUGCUAGGACCUCCUUCUUCAGGUUAAACGUUGCAAGAUCGAGAGAUGAGAUAGUCUUCUGAUGUGCUCGUGUGUUUGAGGCACGUGCUGAGUCCGCAUCCCCUGGCAAGUGUACCCUCCGCGCGACAGGUGUGAGGAGAGGAACAGGUGGAGGGAUCGCUGUGUGAGGAUGUGGCGGUUGUUUGUUCAGGUUGGGUUCAUGUGCUUUCAUCGCCCGUGCAGUGCAGUGGGCAGCUCUGCAAGGCGUCUCGGAAUGAAAGUACUGCUACUACCAGCGCGAUCAGAAGAGGAGGAAUAAAGCGAGUCAAACCCAUGAAGGAGGCCAACUAACUAGUAGCACGGGACUGCAAAACAGUGUGUAAUUAGGAAUAUAAACAUUUUUAUUAGUCGGUGUGCAUAUAUUGAUUGAUUGAUAGUAGUAGAAAACAAGUGGACGUGGGAGGGGGAACAAAUAAAAAAAUUUUAAGUAGGAUGGCGGAGAGGGAGAAUACCGAGAUGAUUACCGAAAACAAACUUAAGGCGCUCCUCGCACGUCGAGGCCAGUGCUGCUGCUGGUGUACACGUCUUAUUUUCAGCAUCCCCCCCACCCAAUUUUUUAUAAAGUCUUAUCGGCAUUCCUUCCUUCCCAGCCAGAUUCUUAGGGCAUUUCUCCAAAACAAUCUAAUUCUCGGCAUUC